GGGGUUGUGGCUUAGCGGUAGAGCACUCACCUAGUAAGUGCAAGGCCCUGGGUUCAAUCCUCAGCAUCACAU
rfam:Ictidomys tridecemlineatus contig020471, whole genome shotgun sequence.